rnacentral:rRNA from 1 species
UACCAAGCUGGAGUACGGUAGGGGCAGAGGGAAUUUCCGGUGGAGCGGUGUAAUGCGUUGAGAUCGGAAAGAACACCAACGGCGAAAGCACUCUGCUGGGCCGACACUGACACUGAGAGACGAAAGCUAGGGGAGCAAAUGGGAUUAGAUACCCCAGUAGUCCUAGCCGUAAACGAUGGAUACUAAGUGCUGUGCGUAUCGACCCGCGCAGUGCUGUAGCUAACGCGUUAAGUAUCCCGCCUGGGGAGUACGUUCGCAAGAAUGAAACUCAAAGGAAUUGACGGGGGCCCGC